GAUCGUCUUUCUAAUACUGGUGCAAGGUUGUCAGGCAUAUCGCGUCCGAAAACAUCUUUUGGAGCUAGCAGCAGAAAAUCAAGUCAAUAUGGACGUGAAUCGUACAUGCAGAUAAAAGACUCCAGACCGCUUAGUGAUAAAUCUUAUCAGCAUCAAGAAAUACAAGACAUAUUGCAGUUUCUUUCGGUCAACGAUUACCAGCAUCCAAUCUCCAUGAAGAAAAUGACGAUUCCAACGAGCAAAGAGUUCCUGAAAGUAUUUUCCCCAUAUCAGUCCAACGGACACAUAUAAAAAA